UACGUAGGGGGGCAAGCGUUUGUUCGGAUUCAUUGGGCGUAAAGGGUGCGUAGGCGGCGCGGUAAGUCGGGUGUGAAAUCUCGGAGCUUAACUCCGAAACUGCAUUCGAUACUGCCGUGCUUGAGGACUGGAGAGGAGACUGGAAUUUACGGUGUAGCGGUGAAAUGCGUAGAUAUCGUAAGGAAGACCAGUGGCGAAGGCGGGGUCUCUGGACAGUUCCUGACGUGAGGCACGAAGGCCAGGGGAGCAAACGGG
rnacentral:rRNA from 1 species